rnacentral:rRNA from 1 species
UACGUAGGGGGCGAGCGUUGUCCGGAGUUACUGGGCGUAAAGGGCAUGCAGGCGGUCGGACGCGUUUCGGGUGACAGCGGGUGGCUUAACUACCCGAGUGGUCGAAAGACGGUUUGACUUGAGGACGCGAGAGGGACACGGAAUUCCGGGGUGGAGUGGGUGAAAUGCGUAGAGAUCCGGAGGAACACCGAAGGCGAAGGCAGUGUCCUGGCGCGUAACUGACGCUGAGGUGCGAAAGCCAGGGGAGCGAACGGG